UACGUAGGGCGCAAGCGUUGUCCGGAAUUAUUGGGCGUAAAGAGCUCGUAGGCGGCUUGUCGCGUCGGAUGUGAAAGCCCGGGGCUUAACUCCGGGUCUGCAUUCGAUACGGGCAGGCUAGAGUGUGGUAGGGGAGAUCGGAAUUCCUGGUGUAGCGGUGAAAUGCGCAGAUAUCAGGAGGAACACCGAUGGCGAAGGCAGGUCUCUGGGCAUUAACUGACGCUGAGGAGCGAAAGCAUGGGGAGCGAACAGG
rnacentral:rRNA from 1 species